rnacentral:tRNA from 2 species
GUUAAAGUGGCCGAGUUUAAGCAGCGGUCUGUAAAACCGCCUACGGAAAUUUUCCCUUUAAUA